CCUACGGGAGGCAGCAGUAAGGAAUAUUGGUCAAUGGGCGCAAGCCUGAACCAGCCAUGCCGCGUGCAGGAAGACGGCCCUAUGGGUUGUAAACUGCUUUUAUCAGGGAAUAAACCCCCGCUCGUGAGCGGGGCUGAAGGUACCUGAGGAAUAAGCAUCGGCUAACUCCGUGCCAGCAGCCGCGGUAAUACGGAGGAUGCAAGCGUUAUCCGGAUUCAUUGGGUAUAAAGGGUGCGCAGGCGGAUUGGUAAGUCAGGGGUGAAAUCCCACAGCUCAACUGUGGAACUGCCUUUGAUACUGUCAGUCUAGAGUAUAGUUGAAGUUGGCGGAAUGUGUCAUGUAGCGGUGAAAUGCUUAGAUAUGACACAGAACACCGAUCGCGAAGGCAGCUAGCUAAGCUAUAACUGACGCUCAUGCACGAAAGCGUGGGGAUCAAACA
rnacentral:rRNA from 1 species